UUAGCAGAGACUGUGUAUCGGCGUGGCGCGACAAAGGUGCGCCAAUAGCCGAAAGGUGAUCUCUGCGAAAUCAAUAGAGGGGAAGGUGGGCAGUUGGAGCUCAAAUUCUUCCAUUGAGCUAUUCAACAAUCAUCUUCCCCACAUCC
rnacentral:snoRNA from 1 species